GUUUUAUUACAUGAAUUAUAAGUAGAAAUUUAAGAAUGAGUAACGGAGGGGAAGAAUUGGAGCUGUAAAGAGAGCGCUAAGGUUUUUGGGAGAACAAACCAACGGAGAAAUCAGAUAUUCUAGUGGCAUGUGUAGAUGAGAAAAAUGAUAGACCCUAACGGUAAGAGAUAGCCGGUUCCCAUGUCGAGCAUACAUGGAUAGGUGGGGCAUAACCCAAGAAUACUCGUACGAUGGAGUAUAGGCAGACGAUAUUCAUGCCGAGGAUACAUGGAUAGGUGGGGAACGACCCAAUAAUACUCGUGCGAUGGAAUAUAGGCAGACGGUACCCAUGCCGUGGAUAGAUGUAUAGGUGGGGUACGAUCCAAGGAUAUUCGUGUACUAAACUUGAGUAAGCUUAAGUGACAAUGCGACGUUUGAACUAGCUUUCAUACAUUUUAAGUUUUAACGUUUUCUUCAUUUAAUGCCUUCUCAUUGUAUAUCCUUUGAUUGAGCUCUUAUAGAUACUCUAAGAUGUAUGGUGUGAAUUCUAUUGAGCGUCAUCUCACUCAAAUUGACACCUUUUUGCGGGUUUUAUCGAUGGGAAAAGCAUAUGAGUUGUUAGUUUAAUCAUGCAUCAUUUUUUGUUU